GAAGUACUCUGUCUGUAACUAUGAUUUGUUAUUAUUUUUGUCCUAGGGAGACUGAGGACAAUUUCCACAUUACCGGCAUUGGGUUUCAUUGAGGGUGUCCCAGCAGCAUAUCAUCACAUACACAGGGCUUCAUCUGCUGAAUAAUCUCUGUGAGUUAUGCAUCGAUCUGCAUUCUCUCCUUACUGUCAGAUGGAAAAUAGCUAAAUUCUUACAAACGGGGUUUCUUGCAACUCCCUGAAGGCAAUGGGACUCCCAAUCAACAAGCUACAAAUUCUCUUGAGAAUGAAGCCUGAGGUUAGUUUCUGAAAUCAAAUGGGCACACAGUAUUUCCACUUGCUUCCUUUG
rnacentral:lncRNA from 1 species